ACAUUUGUGCCAAAGUGAGGACUUGUUGUUUUACCCUCUCUUUUAUAUACGUGUUUAUUUAUAGUUAGUCUUUUCUUGAACCAAAACUUAGAUCUAUUUGCUAGGGUUGAUAGAUGAAUGUUAGGACAUGGACCUCUGUUGAGUGAUUGUUGAUGAGACGGACAAUCCAUCAUUUAGAUCUGUAAAUCCUGAUUCAGAUAUGUAGUAGCCGUUGUUUGAUAUAUUUCUUUCUAAUUUAAAUCUUCAAAAACUAAAUCUUAAUCAAAUAUUAAUAGUUGCCCAUCUCUGAUAUUUUUUUUAUAUAAAAUUAAUAUACUUUGGAAUAAAUAGUAGUCUACUCCCAUUUAAUUACCGUUAAACGUUUGCUUUUGUCAUCAGUUCCGUGUGGCGUAAUUCAAGUACUAAACAUUUGAUUAAUUUUGACUAAUCAAUUAAAAGCAUGACAUUACAAGUUGCUGACAGGAAAAUACAAAACUAUCCGUUGCUGGUAGAAUAUUACACAAGUAAACUCAAUUGAACUUAAACCUAUAAAACCCUAAAAUAUGGACUGCUUGCUUGUUAACCUGUUUAAUAUCCUUUUUCUUAAAAUUUGGUAUCAGAUCACAAGACUAAAUCACUCUAGCUUCGAUCUAGAGAGGUCGCGCCCGUGUUUUCUUUUUAAAUGAUUUAAGAAAACAAUUUUCUUAAAAUCUUUUAAAAUGUUUUCAAACCUAGAACAACAACAACUUAUAGACGCUGAUCUAAUAGAUUCUUCUCAAAUUCUCGCAGGCGCUCGUGAUAGUCUCUACCUUGGUUUUUUCCUUUUCUUUCUUUCCUUCAGAUUUGGAUUCAGGACUCGUGAGACUACUCGAAAGAGGCUGACUCCUCAUUCCCAGGUGCAUCUUCGGCAAACCCAGAGGAGGUGCAAUCAGAUGCAUUUUCCUGAGUCUAAGGGACCAUCUGCGAAUGGAUUUAGCCAGACCAGGAGGGUUUACUCAGCUCCAAUUCGGAAGCAGUCUGGUUCUGUCUUCACGUCCUCCCCUGAAGCCAAGCUAGGAGUUCAUUCUGCUCAGCUUGUGGAGCAUGGCAGAUGCUGCAAGUGCCCGAAGACCUUAGCUGCUCCAGUGAGGCCUCAGCAGAAUCAACUUGGGAGGUCGAGAAGUUUUGCUAUUCAGACACAUAGGAUCCUAAAAGAGUAUCAUCAAGAUUUUGUGAAUGCUAUGGAGCAUGCAGAGCACGACUUCACACCCCAGGAUUUUGCCUACUUCUAGCAGAAGCAUUGCGAUGGGCUUCCCAGACAUGAUAUCCAUACCCCAAUCCCAUCUCCUGGAUUCAGAUCCUGAGCUUAGCAUGCAGCCCUAUAUAGAAGAAGUAGGCGAAAUCAUGGGCUGUGCAGUCGUGCUCUGAAUGCUCCAUAGCAUUCACAAAAUCCUGAUGAUACUCUUGCAGGGUCCUAUCUGCCUGAAUAGCAAAACCUCUCCACCUCCCAAGUGGAUUCUGCUGAGGCGUCACUGGAGCAGCUAACGUCUUCGGGCACUUGCAGCAUCUUCCAUGCUCCACAAGCUGAGCAGAAUGCACUCCUGUCUUGGCUGCAGGGGAAGACAUGAAGACAGAACCAGACUGCUUGCAAAUUGGAGCUGAGUAAACCCUCCUGGUAUGGCUCAAUCCAUUCGCAGAUGCUCCCUUGGACUCAGGAAAAUGCAUCUGAUUGCACCUCCAUUGGGUCUGUCGAAGAUGCACCUGGGAACGAGGAGUCACCUUCUUCCGAGCAGUCUCACAAGUUCUGAAUCCAAAUCUAAAGGAAAGAAAGAAAAUGAAAAAGAAAACGAAAAAGAAGAAUCUAUUCAGUGUCUAUAAGUUAUUGUUGUUCUAGGUUUGAAAACAUUUUAAAAAAAAUUUAAGAAAAAUGUUUUUAGAAAUCAUUUUUGUUUUAACACGGGUGCGACCUCUUUAGAACGGAGCUAGAGUGAUCUAAUCAUGGGCUUUGAUACCAAGUUGUAACAUCAUUAUCCCAGGCUCCCGAGAGAGACGGAGAAAUUGGGUAUGUUAGGUUGGUCAUCUAAACCGCAUUCGGUUAGACACCUGGUUUGGUCCAUUGGUGAGCACACAUGAUCACCAGGAAAAUGUCUGAUCUGCUCAAAGUUUAAUCCCUAAGCUACUCUGCAAGAGCACAAAUGUGAAGUUGUAGUAUGUAGGGGUCGAACCACAGAGACAAGAAAUCACUCAAUAAACCUGAUAGAAUUCGAAUUACGCUAAGCAAAAUAAUGAAAAGCGAAUAGCAAUGCAAAUAAAAAUAAACGAAUGCAGUAAAAACGUUUGUAAAGUUCAGAUGGAUGGAGAUUAGGCUUAGGUCGUUUCUCAGGAAAUCAAUGAAUGCAUAUCAAUUGAUUAGUCAGGGUUCAGGUUUAAGCAGGUUCUUGAACUCGAAACACAGAAUUAUAAUUAACCAACUUCCGUUGUGAGAAUUAUCUAAGUUAAAAUCCUAGAAUUCCAAAUUCCUUUGCAAAUCCUACAAAUUUAAACCAGCUUUAAUGCACAAGUUCGAUGUGAUCACAAAACAUCUAAACCAAAUUCCUUUGCGAAUAGCUACUUUGCUCACCCUAAGUUCUUUUCAGUUAUUCAAUUACACUUCCGUGUCAAUUAAGCAACCUAAGAUCUAAGUUUUAGGUGAUCAGUCCAGAAUUAGCUUUAAGAACAACCUAUGGUGAAGAACUAAUCAGAUUAUGAACUAAUCUGAUUAUGAACCCUAACAAAAUAAAUUAAUCAGACAUCCAGAGAAAAUCAAUUAAUCAACUAAAUCAAUUAACUAAAGUAAUAGACAUGAUUGAAUAGAUUGCAAUAAGAAGAUGAAUAAAAUAAACAAAGGGGUUCGAAAUCUUCUCUCUAAACGAACAGACUUCAGACUUGUCUCCCCAAGCUCUCAAAAUCGCAAAAGCCGAAAAACACAAAGAUGUCUUGCUCGAAAAUCUAAGGUCAGGUUCAAAAGAGACUAAAAAUCCUAUUUAUAUCUAUAAAACACGUAUUGGGCUUCUCUGGAAACUUCUGGGCCCAACAAAUCAUGUUUUCCUUAUUUCUGCGACAAGUGUCGAGCGUCACUCUCUAUGGUGUCGAGGGUCACCAAUGCACAUGAUUUGUCCUUCGCGAAUUUGAUCCUGAUUUAGCUCCAAAGUGCUCCAAAAUCUCCAGUUAAGCUCCAAACAUACCUAAGACCUGUAAAGACUCCAAAAGAUUCAAAAAACACUAGAAAGAUUCUAUAAAUAAGACCUAUACCAUGGUUAAAAACCAUAAAAACCAUGAUAUAUCAAUGUCCAGGUAACAACAACAACAUAAACUUAGCUGAUCCACCUAAUCCUGAGGAAAUAAGGCAGAUUAGAUGUGAGUAAUGGGGAUUACUCAGUGAGAAUGAGCCUUAAGGAGACCCACAACACCAUCAAUCAAGCAUGAAUUAUCUAUAAAAAUUCUAGUCCUAAAACAAGCCCAAGCAAUGACAAGUAAUGUUAUAUAUCAUUCACACUUCCACAGAACAGACAUUUUCCUAUAAGCAACUACCAAACAGUAGGCCCUGGUUGAAACCAGUUGGUAAGCACACACUCUCCAGCUCAGCCUCCUCGGCAAAGGUGUGAUAUGGGGCCUGCCUACCCCUAAAAACUGCUAGUCACAUACCAUAACUCUGUAGCAGAGGCCAUACAAGCACAUGCUCCAGGCCACACAAGAACCCAUAACUCUGGUCACACAGACAACAUCUACACACAGAGGUCACACAAGGGCAUGUAGGUCACACAGACGCCUCGGAGGGUCAUCACUCCUCCCAACGUUGGCUGCUGGCCCGGUCACACAUACACCAACACAGCCAUCAAACAACACCGACACACCACACAAGUAUGAGCCAGGGACCUAUCAGUGCUAUUAUAUCAAACAAUAAUAACAAGCACCAAACAAUAAUCACUUUUAAUAGUAAUCUUUCCGUUUAACUAAUGCACAUUCGUUUGAUACCAAAUUGUAACAAAAAGGAUAUUAAACAGGUUAACAAACAAGCAGUCCAUAUAAUAGGGUUCCAUAAGUUUAAGUUCAAUGCAGUUUACUUGUGUAACAUUCCACUAGCAACCAUCAUUCAUUAACAAUCACUCACUCAACAGAGAUCCAUGUCCUAACAAUCAUCUAUAAACCCUAGCAAACAGAUCUAAGCUUUGGUUUAAGAAAAGACUAAUUAUAAAUAAACAUGCAUAUGAAAGAGAGGGUGAGGCAGCAAGUCCUCACCUUGUCACAGAAGUAUGCAAAGGAGGAUGAGGAGGAGAAGGCAUCAGAGAAGGAGAGGACAGGGGAGAUCCUUCACCAUUGGAUCUAAUCUUGAAGGGAGGAGGCAAAGGAGAUGCAGGAAGAGAGGAAAUCUUGCGGCAAGAAGGAGAAGAAGAUGCUUCAGCUGAGGAGGAGAAAGAGGGUGGCCGCAGCGGAGGAGAAGAAGGAGAGAGAGGUUCACGACGAAGGAGAAAAGAAGAGGAAGAAGAAAAGUUGCAGAGGAGAAGGAGAAGAAGCUCGGCUCAGGGAGAGGAGAAUGAGAGAAGAAAAAGAGGCUAG
rnacentral:lncRNA from 1 species